rnacentral:rRNA from 1 species
UGGGGAAUUUUGGACAAUGGGGGCAACCCUGAUCCAGCGACGCCGCGUGAAGGAUGAAGGUCUUCGGAUUGUAAACUUCUUUUGGAGGGGAUGAACGCCCUGGUGAAUAGCCAGGGGUGACAGUACUCUCGGAAUAAGCCACGGCUAACUACGUGCCAGCAGCCGCGGUAAUACGUAGGUGGCAAGCGAUACUCGGAAUCACUAGGCGUAAAGCGCAGGUAGGCGGUUCGGUAAGUCUUUUGUGAAAGCUCCCGGCUCAACUGGGAGAUGCCAAGGGAAACUACCGAACUAGAGUGUGGUAGGGGAUACUGGAAUUCCUGGUGUAGCGGUGAAAUGCGUAGAUAUCAGGAGGAAUACCUAUGGCGAAAGCAGGUAUCUGGGCCAUCACUGACGCUGAGCUGCGAAAGCUAGGGGAGCAAACAGG